AUGGAAGUAGCAACCGUCAAUUGGGUAGCAUUUGUGGUUCCAAUUGCCGUGGCGACGAUCAUCAUCUUCAUAUCGGCCAUGAUGGCACGAGGACGACGACGAACCGAACGAUCUCCACGCGCUCGUCCGCCCCCCGUGGCCGCAGGGGCUCCCCUCGUGGGGGUCCUCCCGUGGCUUCUCGCCAAGGGCCCGCUGCAAGUGAUCCGCGACGCCCACGCGGAGCUGGGCAGCGUGUUCACGGUGAGGCUGCUGCGCCGCGAGGUGACCUUCCUGGUCGGUCCGGACGUGUCGAGCCAUUUCUUCCAGGGGCUGGACUCGGAGGUGAGCCAGGACGAGGUCUCCCGGUUCACCGUCCCGACCUUCGGCCCCGGCGUCGCCUUCGACGUGGAUCUCGCCACCCGGCGCGAGCAGAUCCGCUUCUUCGGCGACGCCAUGAAGCCUGCCAAGCUCAGGACCUACGCCGGCCUCAUGGUGCGAGAAGUCGAGGAGUACUUUACGAGAUGGGGAGAGUCGGGCACCGUCGACCUGAAGCAGGAGCUAGGGCACCUCGUCACGCUCGUCGCCAGCCGGUGCCUGUUCGGGGAGGAGGUCCGCUCCAAGAUGCUCCGCGAGGCCGCCACGCACCUCCGCGAGCUCAACGACGGCAUGCGCCUCGUCACCAUCCUCUUCCCGCACCUGCCCAUCCCGGCGCACCGCAGGCGCGACAGGGCGCGCGCUAGGCUCGGCGAGAUAUUCUCCGACAUGGUCAGGACGCGCAGAGAAUCUGGCCGCCCCGUCGACGACAUGCUGCAGUGCCUCAUCGAUUCCAGGUACAAGGACGGCCGCGCCACGACCGACACGGAGCUCGUCGGGAUGCUGGUGUCGGCGCUGUUCGCGGGGCAGCACACGAGCUCCAGCACGGGCACGUGGACCGGAGCGCGCCUCCUCGCGGGCGCCAACGCCGAGCACCUGCGCGCCGCCGUCCGGGAGCAGGAGCGGGUCGUGGCGCGGCACGGGGACCGCGUCGACUACGAGGUCCUGCAGGAGAUGGAGACCCUCCACCGCAGCGUCAAGGAGGCCCUGCGGCUCCACCCGCCGGCGAUGAUGCUGCUGCGCCACGCGCGCCGUAGCUUCGUCGUCCGGACGAGGGAGGGAGACGAGUACGAGGUCCCGGAGGGGCGCACGGUCGCGAGCCCAAUGGUGAUCCACAACCGUCUUCCGCGCGUGUACAGGGACCCGGAGAGGUACGAGCCGGGCCGGUUCGGCCCCGGGAGAGGGGAGGACGGGGCCGGCGGGGCGCUCUCGUACACGGCCUUCGGCGGCGGGCGGCACGCGUGCGUGGGCGAGGCGUUCGCGUACAUGCAGAUCAAGGUGAUAUGGAGCCACCUGCUGAGGAACUUUGAGAUGGAGAUGGUGUCGCCGUUCCCGGAGACGGACUGGAACGUGGUCAUGCCGGGGCCCAAGGGGAAGGUCAUGCUCCGCUACAAGAGGAGGAAGAAGAUGUCACCCACCGCCCAAAUCACCAACCCACACACACGCUAUGUGCUAUGA
rnacentral:rRNA from 1 species